rnacentral:rRNA from 1 species
CCUACGGGGGACUGCAGUGAGGAAUAUUGGUCAAUGGGCGCGAGCCUGAACCAGCCAAGUAGCGUGAAGGAUGACUGCCCUACGGGUUGUAAACUUCUUUUAUAAAGGAAUAAAGUGAGGCACGUGUGCCUUUUUGUCUGUCCUUUAUGAGUAAGGAUCGGCUAACUCCGUGCCAGCAGCCGAGGUAAUACGGAGGAUCCGAGCGUUAUCCGGAUUUAUUGGGUUUAAAGGGAGCGUAGAUGGGUUGUUAAGUCAGUUGUGAAAGUUUGCGGCUCAACCGUAAAAUUGCAAUUGAUACUGGCAGUCUAGAGUAUAGUUGAGGUAGGCAGAAUUCGUGGUGUAGCGGUGAAAUGCUUAGAGAUCACGAAGAAUUCCGAUUGCGAAGGCAGCUUACUAAACAGCCACUGACAUUGAUGCUCGAAAGUGUGGGUAUCAAACAGGAUUAGAUACCCCAGUAGUC